rnacentral:rRNA from 1 species
UACGGAGGGAGCUAGCGUUAUUCGGAAUUACUGGGCGUAAAGCGUACGUAGGCGGCUUUGCAAGUUAGAGGUGAAAGCCUGGAGCUCAACUCCAGAACUGCCUUUAAAACUGCAUCGCUUGAAUCCAGGAGAGGUGAGUGGAAUUCCGAGUGUAGAGGUGAAAUUCGUAGAUAUUCGGAAGAACACCAGUGGCGAAGGCGACUCACUGGCCCGAUACUGACGCUGAGGCGCGAAAGCGUGGGGAGCAAACAGG